UACGGGGGGAGCAAGCGUUGUUCGGAUUUACUGGGCGUAAAGGGCGCGUAGGCGGUCGUGACAAGUCACUUGUGAAAUCUCCGGGCUUAACUCGGAACGGUCAAGUGAUACUGUCGGACUAGAGUACAGAAGGGGCAACUGGAAUUCCCAGUGUAGCGGUGAAAUGCGUAGAUAUUGGGAAGAACACCUGAGGCGAAGGCGGGUUGCUGGGCCGACACUGACGCUGAGGCGCGAAAGCCAGGGGAGCAAAGCGGG
rnacentral:rRNA from 1 species